rnacentral:misc_RNA from 1 species
CAACCCUCAGCGCCCUAGGCCUGGUGUUGGGGCGCUACCACCCCCCGGGGCGGUAGGCCCCUAAAUUCAUUGGCGAGCCCGCCAGCCUCCCGAGCGCAGUAAUUCUUCUCGCUCCGGGCCAGGCUGGCGCGGUCCUGCCGUUAAACCCCCCAAUUUUUUACAU